rnacentral:rRNA from 1 species
GUCUAUGGCUAUACCACCCUGAAUGCACCUGAUCUCAGGAGCUAAGCAGGGUGGGGCCUGGUUGGUAUUUGGAUGGGACACGUGUCCUCCAUAGUCU